UACGGAGGGUGCAAGCGUUGUCCGGAUUUAUUGGGUUUAAAGGGUGCGUAGGUGGCCUUGUAAGUCCGUGGUGAAAGCCUCUCGCUUAACGAGAGAACUGCCAUGGAUACUGCAAGGCUUGAGUCCAGACGAGGUUGGCGGAAUGGAUGGUGUAGCGGUGAAAUGCAUAGAUACCAUCCAGAACCCCGAUUGCGUAGGCAGCUGACUAGGCUGGUACUGACACUGAGGCACGAAAGCGUGGGGAGCCGAACAGG
rnacentral:rRNA from 1 species